rnacentral:snRNA from 1 species
CUUUUAUCAUCUGAUCCCU